rnacentral:rRNA from 1 species
AUUGAACGCUGGCGGCAUGCUUUACACAUGCGAGUCGAACGGCAGCGCGGGCUUCGGCCUAGCGGCGAGUGGCGAACGGGUGAGUAAUGCAUCGGAACGUGCCCAGUAGUGGGGGAUAGCCCGGCGAAAGCCGGAUUAAUACCGCAUACGACCUGAGGGUGAAAGCGGGGGACCGAAAGGCCUCGCGCUAUUGGAGCGGCCGAUGUCGGAUUAGCUAGUUGGUGGGGUAAAGGCUUACCAAGGCGACGAUCCGUAGCUGGUCUGAGAGGACGACCAGCCACACUGGGACUGAGACACGGCCCAGACUCCUACGGGAGGCAGCAGUGGGGAAUUUUGGACAAUGGGGGCAACCCUGAUCCAGCCAUGCCGCGUGCGGGAAGAAGGCCUUCGGGUUGUAAACCGCUUUUGUUCGGGAAGAAAUCCUCUGGGCUAAUACCCCGGGGGGAUGACGGUACCGGAAGAAUAAGCACCGGCUAACUACGUG